UCUCCAGCCUCUCCCUCCCCGUCUCGGGCUCCGUCUCUCGCCGUCUCUCCCUCGCGAGCCCGGGCGGGGGGAAAUCGCUCCGUAAAUAGGCGGAUGGCCCCGGGCGCUCCCGGCGCAGACACUCGUUUUUAGAGCCGUGUCCCCACCUUCUUAACGAAGUUUGGACAAGGAUCUCACUGAACAAGUCCUGGUAACAGUGGAUCUGAUUAAAGGCGAUAGUGCAGUGAUGUCUGGGCUGUUUGAAGCUCAAUGCUGCCCCCUGGUGCCCAGACUGUUACAGCCAGUAAGCCGCAGGGAAAGGAGGCAGGAGACACUUGAGUCCAUCUGGAACCAGCAACUGGAAAUAGAAUGGGCAUGUUUCUUCAAAAGUGACUUUUGCAUUGUGUGACCAAUGGUGGGCCCAAAGUCGAUAACAGGCCUGGUCCAGGCAGCUAUCAUGUGGUUUCCACGCUGUAGACACAAGGUAUUGUUUUUGCCUCAUCACCUCCACUGUCCCCCCACCGGUAAGACCCAGUGAUGAAAGGAGUGGGAAGGGUAAGUUUUGGUAUGUUGGGACAAUGCUCUAACCCAGUGGUCAGCAAACUCAUUAGUCAACAGAGCCAAAUAUCAACAGUACAAU